AGGGGUGGACUGGCCAUCUGGCAUACCGGGCAUCGUCCCGGUGGGCCGUUGACCCAAUGUGGGCCGGUCCGGUCCGCUAUGUUAUUUUGUUUUGUUUUUUUCCUCUAAAUUCCCUCCAUUUGGGCCGGCCGAUUGGCUGCAGAGGGCUAGCAGUGUGUUGCCAGCAUCGACACAUAUUAUUGGUCUAUUGUUUGUCAUUGUCAAUCAAUCAUGGGCUGACAGGCUCAGAGAGCCCUGACAGUGCUGUCAAUCACAACACAAACCAGGGUGGGCGGGACCUCAUGCCAUGGGCGGGAGUCGCGAGACGGGCUGCUGCUGAGCUGAAGAUGGAUAAGCGGAAGAAACGCCCGGGUGGCGCUGAAAAACUGCGACUUAAAAAGCUAAAGUCUCUGGAGGUGGCGGCUGCUAAAUAUUCUAAAUUGACGGACCUAUCUGGUGCCGGGGUCACCACCCAAGCAGGUGCUGCCGCGCCGGGAGACGAGCGAGAGGAGACAUACACGGUUGACCACCCUAUAUAUGAGAGCCUAAGGAGUUGUUUUCCCUCUGUCCCCUUUUGAGGACCUCCUUUGUCUCCUCCAUCAUUCACUGGGCCACUUUUGGGUUCCUGAGCUCAUUUCAUGUGGUUUUCCUGACCUGCUAGAAGUUCUUUUAUGAUGCUUGAGUCAUCCAUCAUAUCUGAGAGCUUCGUCUUGACUUUGUCAUGAAUUUGGUGAGGAGCGGAGCUGGCUGGCUGCGGACGAGGAAGUAGGGCAAUACAUACUUGUGCACAUACACGUAUAUGAGAAUGCAUAUCUAUUCAGACCUGUAACCCAUGUCUUAGACUUUUUCACACAGCUAUAUAUAUUUUUUUUUCUCACCGUUGAGCGAGUGAGUUUCAGCUCUAAUGCUGCUACUGUCUGUAAUAUGUUUCUAUUUAGAUUAUUUGUCAGGAUAUUUUUUUGUUAUUAUUGUCCGAGUCUGGUUUUAACUAAUGCUGGGCUUACAGACUAAAAACUGAAAGGGUAGCAUAAAGGUUCUUCCCGUUAGUCUCGUCCCACCCCUAGUCAUGACAUAACUUCUGAUAUGAUUUGACACUAUAAUGAAUAAAGAUUGAUUGAUUGAUUGCUAUAGCUGUCAAUUUUAGUCCUUGAGUUCAUAGUUAAGUGCUUUAUUUGUUAACUGCUAUCAAGGAAUAUGACUCUUCUUUGUAGUAUGCAUGAGAGAAGAUGCUGCGAGAUUAGUGGACUUCUAUGUAGUGUCCGCUGAUAAUGUAGUGGGCUGGUCUGGACAGAAAAUGCCAGGGCUGAAUUUUUGUCCCAGUCCACCCCUGACCUCCGCCAUCAUCCCGGGGACAAAACAAUCUAAUGAACUGGCC